CCUUGUUCUCUAUGCUAGGGUGGCAGGGUCCCCAGGCUGCCCCUAAGCCCUUCUCCCUAUGCUUUGGGGCUGCCAACCUAAUUGGGGGCCUACGAGUAGCCUCCACUGACCCUGGGGGCGUCCCCCUCCCCUUGAACAGUCUGGGGGUGCGUGCCAGAAGGCAAGAAACAAUCAGACUGUGUUUCCCCUCCCCGAUUCAAACUGGAUCUCCCUCCUCACGCUGCUGCUGACCUGCCAUGACUUUCGCCCUAGCCCCCAGCCCACCCCUCACCUCGCGCGGGUCGGGGGUCCUCACGCCAGGCCGGAGCUGGAAGCCAUGACCAGCCUGAAUAAGCAUCGGGGCUCUCUGGCUGCCUCCUUCUGCCUUCAUACCAGAGCCCGGAGAGGCCCCUGUCAAAAUAAGAGCUCCCCCAUCUCGCUCGUCUCCUCGCCCAACCCGGCUCCCCCAGCCUCCCAGUGGUCUGACUCGUACACCAUGAGGACAUAGCCUGAAUUUUCAUCUCAAGUCUCAGCAGGGGUGUAAAGUGGAUGUGUUCAUCAUGAACUUGCAAGAAAGAUAUUUUGACCCCAUUACACAGAUGAGGAAACUGAGACUUGCAUUAUAUAAGGAUUUACUCAGGAUUACACAACUAGACCAUGUUAUCGGCGGAUACAACAUCUUUGUUUUGUAUGUGGUGCUGA